rnacentral:rRNA from 1 species
CGGGGGGAGCAAGCGUUGUUCGGAUUUACUGGGCGUAAAGGGCGCGUAGGCGGCGCGACAAGUCACUUGUGAAAUCUCUGGGCUCAACCCAGAACGGUCAAGUGAUACUGUCGUGCUAGAGUGCGGAAGGGCAACUGGAAUUCUUGGUGUAGCGGUGAAAUGCGUAGAUAUCAAGAGGAACACCUGCGGCGAAGGCGGGUUGCUGGGCCGACACUGACGCUGAGGCGCGAAAGCUAGGGGAGCGAACGGGAUUAGAUACCCCGGUAGUCCUAGCCUUAAACGAUGAAUGCUUGGUGUCCGGAGUUAGAUAGUCUCCGGGUGCCGUCGCUAACGCUUUAAGCAUUCCGCCUGGGGAGUACGGUCGCAAGACUG